AGAGUUUGAUCCUGGCUCAGGAUGAACGCUGGCGGCGUGCCUAACACAUGCAAGUCGAACGAAGCACUUAUAACAGAUUCUUCGGAUGAAGUUAUAUUUGACUGAGUGGCGGACGGGUGAGUAACGCGUGGGUAACCUGCCUCAUACAGGGGGAUAACAGUUAGAAAUGACUGCUAAUACCGCAUAAGCGCACAGUACCGCAUGGUACGGUGUGAAAAACUCCGGUGGUAUGAGAUGGACCCGCGUCUGAUUAGCUAGUUGGUGGGGUAACGGCCUACCAAGGCGACGAUCAGUAGCCGACCUGAGAGGGUGACCGGCCACAUUGGGACUGAGACACGGCCCAAACUCCUACGGGAGGCAGCAGUGGGGAAUAUUGCACAAUGGGGGAAACCCUGAUGCAGCGACGCCGCGUGAGCGAAGAAGUAUUUCGGUAUGUAAAGCUCUAUCAGCAGGGAAGAAAAUGACGGUACCUGACUAAGAAGCACCGGCUAAAUACGUGCCAGCAGCCGCGGU
rnacentral:rRNA from 1 species